UAGUCAAGGUAGAUAAGAUACCGUGUAGAUUGCUCAGUAUGAGUAACUGUUAGUAACUUGAAUGUGCUUGCAACGUUAUCAGAAUGAUGAAAGUAUAUUUUUCCAUUUCGUUGGUUUGCUUUGUUUUAGAAUUGAUUUGUAUCAGUUGUCAAGGAACGACGAGAGAUUUUCAACAAGAAGAUUGUAACAAAACCACUGAAGAAGGCCCAUUUGGUUGCAAAGCAUACAUACCCAGGUGGAGAUGGAGUAUAGACAACGGAACGUGUAUUGAAGAUGUCUAUGGAGGAUGUAAUCAGUCGAAGAACAAUUUUCUGGACUACAAUACUUGCAUGGAAGUAGCUGAACCAGUGUGUUCCAAUGUUGGAGAAUCAGUAACAGAGAAUGUCUCAAAAUAAAGAUUAAUUCAGUAAAU